UCCGCAUUCUCUUCCAGCGACAAUCGCCCAAUCCGUAUCGCCCCCAUAGACCCAUCGAUCCGGAGCUCCGAUCGCUGUCUCGUCGGGCCCAGGGUUUCCGCCGGCCGGAUCGCAGCGGCCUGAUGGGCUCGGACGGAGGAGAUCCCAGCGGCGCCCGGGCGCCCGCCGGGGAGUGGGAGGGUGGUGCGGCCGGGGCGGCGGUCGCGAUCAACGUCCGGUGCUCCAACGGCUCCAAAAUCGAGGUCCGGGCGAGCCCGGAGGUCAACGAUCGGGGCCUUCAAGGCGGCCCUGGCCCGGGACUGCGACGUCCCCGCCGAUCAGCAGCGGCUAAUCUACAAAGGCCGGAUUUUGAAGGACGACCAGACCUUGGCCAGCUACGCAGCGAAGAAGAUUAGCGUCUGUGAAGAAGAAGAUUUGGACUUUCAAUGGCGAAGAAGAUGAGCGUCAGUGAAGAAGAGCCGAAGAAGAAGGGCGAGCGAAAAAGGGAGAGUGAACAGCGUGCCUCGAGACCUUCAAAGAUGAAGAAGAAGAUCUGGAACUUUGAUGGCCAAGAAGAUGUGUGUCGUUGAAGAAAGCCGAAAGAAAAAGAUGAGCGAAAGAGCGAAGGGAGAGAGCGGCGUAACAGGCUCAAACCUAGCCCAGGCCAUGGGGAGAGUUAAUUUGUAUUGGAGUCUAGCUUUGCUAUUCCAAAAAAUGAUUUAUGAGUUGCAAUCCCUCAUGCAAUAGAGUCUGGGCAUUUUAUCUGGAAGAUUCCAUAUAUCCAGGCAAUGAAUCAAUCUCUUUUAAGAGCAUUUUCCCACUUGAGCUCUAGGACAUUGGGUACAGAGGGUUACAGGCCUAACAGGUUUCACGCCGUAGAAUAUGGGGAAAAUCGUUUUCCCAUGACCUGAUUUUUCCUUGCUCUCCACCAUUGCUGGAAGUGUUGUGGGAAUGGUGGAGAAUAAGGAGAAAUUGGGUCGUGGGAAAAUGAUUUUCUCCAUAUUAUACAGCGUGGAACCUCGUGAUGUUAGACUUGUAACCUCUGUACCCAUAAUGCCCUAUAAGCUGAAGGGGUGGAUUGAGUCUGAGGAAGUAAAAGCGUGGGAAAAUGCUCUUAAAGAGGUUGGUUCAUUGCCAGGAUAUAUGGAAUCUUCCAGGAAAAAGGCCCCACUGCAAUUGUAGGAGGGAUUGCAACUCAUAAAUCAUUUUCUGGAAUAGCACAGCUAGACUCCAAUAGAACAAACUGGAUUACUUUGUUUUUGAUGUUGCGCUUUAAGUACAAAUUAACUUCAAAUAGUUGAUCUGCAGUUCAAUGGGAGUGGCUAUUGCUUUGUCAUAUAGUAUCCGCCCAAUGAUAAACUCGUGCCUUUUCUUUUCUAACUGAAACAAGUUUACUUCUGUGGCAGCAUAUUGGAUGUCAUCCAUGCAAUCGUUGAAGAUGUCAUGCACAAGGUGAAGGUAAACGAGGGAAUUGACAAACAAGUGGAGGACAUGAUGCACUUACUUGAUUUAGAACUCUAUUCUUGAUGUAUGAAUAGUUGGAAUCUGGGGGAAGGAUGGGUCGGCAAGACCCCUCUUGCCGAGGUCAUUUAUGAGCAAAUUUCAUCUCAUUUCGACAGUUGUAGUUUCCUUGCAGAUAUUGGGGCAGUGCUGAAACAAUCUAGAGGUAUUCAGCUUUUGUAAAGCAAGUUGAUGUCUGAUAUCCAAGACCAAGGAGAUGAGUUUGAUCUAGUUGCAAAAGGAGGAGUCUAUUUUCUUGAAGAAACAUUACCGAUGAUUAAAGUACUAAUUUUUCUUGAUGAUCUGGACAUAUGGUUGCAUUUCAAUGAAAUUUUUGGAGAAGAACGUGACUUUUUUGGUCAUGGAUUUAGGAUAAUUGUCACCACUAGUAACAAAUUUGUUCUUUUAAAAUCGCCACCUCAACGGUUGGAUUGUAUUUACUGUAUCGGCAUGAUGAAUGAUAAUCUAGCUCUUGAGCUUUUCAGUAA